GAUGAACGCUGGCGGCGUGCUUAACACAUGCCAGUCGAACGGAAAGGCUCCUGCUUGCAGGGGUACUCGAGUGGCGAACGGGUGAGUAACACGUGGGUGAUCUGCCCUGCACUUCGGGAUAAGCCUGGGAAACUGGGUCUAAUACCGGAUAGGACCACAUUUUGGAUGGUGUGGUGGAAAGUUUUUCGGUGUGGGAUGAGCUCGCGGCCUAUCAGCUUGUUGGGGGGGUAAUGGCCUACCAAGGCGUCGACGGGUAGCCGGCCUGAGAGGGUGUACGGCCACAUUGGGACUGAGAUACGGCCCAGACUCCUACGGGAGGCAGCAGUGGGGAAUAUUGCACAAUGGGCGCAAGCCUGAUGCAGCGACGCCGCGUGGGGGAUGACGGCCUUCGGGUUGUAAACUCCUUUCGCUAGGGACGAAGCGCAAGUGACGGUACCUGGAGAAGAAGCACCGGCUAACUACGUG
rnacentral:rRNA from 1 species